AAGGCUAAAUACUCCUGACUGACCGAUAGUGAACCAGUACCGUGAGGGAAAGGCGAAAAGAACCCCGGCGAGGGGAGUGAAAAAGAACCUGAAACCGUGUACGUACAAGCAGUGGGAGCCCCACCACCAAAGCAUUCUCUGGUGUUGAAGGCCCUGCAAAGCAGCAUCGCGGUGGCGGAGCGUCGUUUGCGACGCCCAACACAAAAAACAAGCGGUGAGUGCUUUGGGGUGGGGUGACUGCGUACCUUUUGUAUAAUGGGUCAGCGACUUAUAUUCUGUAGCAAGGUUAACCGAAUAGGGGAGCCGUAGGGAAACCGAGUCUUAACCGGGCGUUAAGUUGCAGGGUAUAGACCCGAAACCCGGUGAUCUAGCCAUGGGCAGGUUGAAGGUUGGGUAACACUAACUGGAGGACCGAACCGAC
rnacentral:rRNA from 1 species